UACGGAGGGUACGAGCGUUGUCCGGAAUCAUUGGGCGUAAAGGGCGCGUAGGUGGCGGGACAAGCGUGCGGUGAAAGCCUGGGGCUCAACCCCCGAGUCGGCCGUGCGAACUCUUGGGCUGGAGUGCUGUAGAGGCGGGCGGAAUUCCUGGUGUAGCGGUGAAAUGCGCAGAUAUCAGGAGGAACACCGGUGGCGAAGGCGGGUCUCUGGGCCGAUACUGACGCUGAGGAGCGAAAGCUAGGGGGAGCAAACGGG
rnacentral:rRNA from 1 species